CGUGAAUCGUCAACAUAGAGUAAUCGGGUUUCUGUAACAGUGGUACCACACUUGUAAAACAGAUUGAACAAUCAAACAUUGUACACCAGACAUCAGCCAUAAUAUAGUGUAUCGAGAAAUAGGAACCUCAACAGGCAUUAAAUCAAUACGCUAUUGUGUAGCUCACCUAGUAGUGUAUUGUGGCCAAAACAAGAUUUGCAUAUCAAUGCAGCAGGCAGUUGCUAGAUCAUGUUCCAUCUUCAUUGUCCGAGAGCAAGCAGUCUUCUAUUUGCUCCCUUAGCUGUCUCUGACUUAGACGAUCAUUAUCGCCUGCUUGGGAAACCAUUGACGGUGGCAAGAGAGAAAUGAAGUGCUCCAGAGAUGAGGGAUCAUUGGGGAGAACCUGAAACUGACAGCUUGCACAGCAUGCAGCCCCAAUCCCAUUAGGAUUAGUUUUCCCAUUUUCAAAAUUAAUUGAAGUUCCAAAACUGGAUAUUUUUAGAGGACUGUUGCAAAUAGGACAGAAUGAUUCGGGAGGAAGGGCAUCUUUAGUUUUAAGGUUGUAUUUCUUUUGCCUCCUUCGAGAUGCCACCUGACCAUUAUAGUCAUUGUCCUCUGGCAUUCUGUUGAAAUGAAACGGUGUCAACUUUCCAGCUGUUCUCAUGAUUGUGCUUUCCCGGGAAGGGUUUUCCUCCUGCAACAAUUUUACAAAUGAGGAUAUCAGGCCAUUGAUACCAGCACGCGUUCCAUUAAAAACUUCUACAGUCUUCAAACUGUCGAGGCUGCAAAGCAUGUUCAACUCAUGAAUAGGACAAUCACGGAGGGGAAGAACCACAGGUAUCUUCCACCUUGCAUCAACAUACUGGAUGUCAGCUGCUAAAGAAUAACCUCUACCCUUGACAGUUGCUUCAAGUACAUGACAAGCUAUUCUUGAUGUACACGUUCCAAGUAGAAUUUUGGUAUAUCCAUUCUCUAUAGCUAUCUUUUGCAAGGAGAGCAUGCGAAAAUGCUCCAACAAAUCCUCUUUUCCUG
rnacentral:misc_RNA from 1 species